AGCGAACGCUGGCGGCAGGCCUAACACAUGCAAGUCGAACGGAUCCUUCGGGAUUAGUGGCGGACGGGUGAGUAACACGUGGGAACGUGCCCUUUGGUUCGGAACAACUCAGGGAAACUUGAGCUAAUACCGGAUGUGCCCUUCGGGGGAAAGAUUUAUCGCCAUUGGAGCGGCCCGCGUCUGAUUAGCUAGUUGGUGAGGUAACGGCUCACCAAGGCGACGAUCAGUAGCUGGUCUGAGAGGAUGAUCAGCCACAUUGGGACUGAGACACGGCCCAAACUCCUACGGGAGGCAGCAGUGGGGAAUCUUGCGCAAUGGGCGAAAGCCUGACGCAGCCAUGCCGCGUGAAUGAUGAAGGUCUUAGGAUUGUAAAAUUCUUUCACCGGGGACGAUAGUGACGGUACCCGGAGAAGAAGCCCCGGCUAACUUCGUGCCAGCAGCCGCCGUAAUAC
rnacentral:rRNA from 1 species